rnacentral:SRP_RNA from 1 species
GGGUAAGUCUUGUACGAUCUGCUCCCUUUUAACUCCCCCAGGACAGGAAUGUAGCAAGGGUACAUUGGUUGUAGCGAUGCGAUAUAAGUAGCUUGCCCUUU